rnacentral:rRNA from 1 species
CCUACGGGAGGCAGCAGUGGGGAAUAUUGGGCAAUGGGCGCAAGCCUGACCCAGCAACGCCGCGUGAAGGAAGAAGGCUUUCGGGUUGUAAACUUCUUUUAAGGAGGAAGAGCAGAAGACGGUACCCCUUGAAUAAGCCACGGCUAACUACGUGCCAGCAGCCGCGGUAAUACGUAGGUGGCAAGCGUUGUCCGGAUUUACUGGGUGUAAAGGGCGUGCAGCCGGAGAGACAAGUCAGAUGUGAAAUCCACGGGCUCAACCCGUGAACUGCAUUUGAAACUGUUUCCCUUGAGUGUCGGAGAGGUAAUCGGAAUUCCUUGUGUAGCGGUGAAAUGCGUAGAUAUAAGGAAGAACACCAGUGGCGAAGGCGGAUUACUGGACGAUAACUGACGGUGAGGCGCGAAAGUGUGGGGAGCAAACAGGAUUAGAUACCCGUGUAGUC